CUUGCUCUUCUUGGAUGAGUUGCGAACGGGUGAGUAACGCGUAGGUAACCUGCCUUGUAGCGGGGGAUAACUAUUGGAAACGAUAGCUAAUACCGCAUAACAAUGGAUGACACAUGUCAUUUAUUUGAAAGGGGCAAUUGCUCCACUACAAGAUGGACCUGCGUUGUAUUAGCUAGUAGGUGAGGUAAUGGCUCACCUAGGCGACGAUACAUAGCCGACCUGAGAGGGUGAUCGGCCACACUGGGACUGAGACACGGCCCAGACUCCUACGGGAGGCAGCAGUAGGGAAUCUUCGGCAAUGGGGGCAACCCUGACCGAGCAACGCCGCGUGAGUGAAGAAGGUUUUCGGAUCGUAAAGCUCUGUUGUAAGUCAAGAACGGGUGUGAGAGUGGAAAGUUCACACUGUGACGGUAGCUUACCAGAAAGGGACGGCUAACUACGUGCCAGCAGCCGCGGUAAUACGUAGGUCCCGAGCGUUGUCCGGAUUUAUUGGGCGUAAAGCGAGCGCAGGCGGUUUGAUAAGUCUGAAGUUAAAGGCUGUGGCUCAACCAUAGUUCGCUUUGGAAACUGUCAAACUUGAGUGCAGAAGGGGAGAGUGGAAUUCCAUGUGUAGCGGUGAAAUGCGUAGAUAUAUGGAGGAACACCGGUGGCGAAAGCGGCUCUCUGGUCUGUAACUGACGCUGAGGCUCGAAAGCGUGGGGAGCGAACAGGAUUAGAUACCCUGGUAGUCCACGCCGUAAACGAUGAGUG
rnacentral:rRNA from 1 species